UACGUAGGGAGCAAGCGUUGUCCGGAAUCAUUGGGCGUAAAGCGCGCGUAGGUGGCCCGGUAAGUCCGCUCUGAAAGUCACAGGCUCAACCUGUGAAAGCGGGUGGAUACUGCCGGGCUAGAGUCCGGAAGAGGCGAGUGGAAUUCCUGGUGUAGCGGUGGAAUGCGCAGAUAUCAGGAGGAACACCAACGGCGAAGGCAGCUCGCUGGGACGGUACUGACACUGAGGCGACGAAAGCGGUGGGAGCGAACAGG
rnacentral:rRNA from 1 species